AGUAGGGAGCGGAUCACAAGAUGUUCCUAAUCCAGGUAGCCCUGGCUACCAUUAUACUGAACACAAACCAACCCUGUCAGAGGACAUUGCCCCUUGUUUAUAAAUUUGGGUUCUAGAAAAAAACCCCGAUGCUGUUUUUGGAGCCAUGUGAUGGGACUGCUGGAAACCAGGCAGGGAAAGGCAAUGGCAGGCACACUUCCAGUUUAGGGGCAUCAGGCACUGUGACAGCGAGGAUGGCGCAGGGGUGAGUGGGGAGCUUCCCUGCAGGGGUCUGAGAUCGCCAGGCAGAAGCUAGGCUGGGGUAGGGCGGGAAACGCAUUACACAACAAAGAUUAGAUUGCAGGAGGCCCAGCCUUCUAAUGCUCCUCCUGCUCUCUGAAGCUCCCUCCACAGACUCCUCCACCCCAGAACCUUCCGACAGAGAUGAGUUCUCUCUAUGUUGCCCAAGCUGAUCUGGAACUCCUGGGCUCAAGCAAUCCUCCCACCUCCCAGUUUUGGGAUUGCAGGUAUGUCUAGAGGUCAGUUUGGACAGGGGCAGGAACCUCUAGACAUGUUUUUCUGGGUGAACGAGAUAAGCGGAGAAAUCACCUACCCCCCACAGAAGGCAGAUGCACCUGCUGUUUCUCCUGAGCACCCACAAGAGAAGCCCCCAUCUCAGCCCAGGAGUGUGCAGGGGGCUCCUUGCAGUCCCCAGGGCCCGCCUGCACAGAGGCCUGCCCUUGCACUUCCAUCUAAGGCUUCUCUGAAAGACACAGGCUCAAGAAACCCCUGCCCAUCUGCACCGACCUGGGGCCAGGCCAAAGCCGGAGGAGUGAGGAGCCCCCCACCAUUCUCAGCAAUCCCUGUCACCAUCUCAUCACCAGGAGUGACUCCGCCCAUACUCGGGCCCCUGGGACCAGGCCCUCAGCCACCGGUCUCGACCUCUCCUCUAAGCCCUUCUGCACCCUGGGCCUUCACCUGCAAGCUGAAAAAUGUCCUUACUGGGAAUAACUGGUUUUCCUUUUGAAUCUUAAGAAAAUUUGUCUGGCUACACUCUUUAAGCAACUUCCUGAGCCACCCGUGGCCAGGCUCUGCAGGCCGAAUCUGCCUGGCCCCAUCUGCCUUCCCCGGAAGGACAGGACUCACCCCAGGAGUCUCACAGGAACAUGCCCAAUGCUUUCAAACCCAGUAAAAUUUUACUUAGAUUUUGA